GACGAACGCUGGCGGCGUGCUUAACACAUGCAAGUCGAACGGAAAGGCCCUGCUUUUGUGGUGUUCUCGAGUGGCGAACGGGUGAGUAACACGUGAGUAACCUGCCCUUGACUUUGGGAUAACUUCAGGAAACUGGGGCUAAUACCGGAUAGGAGCUCCUGCUGCAUGGUGGGGGUUGGAAAGUUUCGGCGGUUGGGGAUGGACUCGCGGCUUAUCAGCUUGUUGGUGGGGUAGUGGCUUACCAAGGCUUUGACGGGUAGCCGGCCUGAGAGGGUGACCGGCCACAUUGGGACUGAGAUACGGACCAGACUCCUACGGGAGGCAGCAGUGGGGAAUAUUGCACAAUGGGCGGAAGCCUGAUGAAGCAACGCCGGGUGCGGGAUGACGGCCUUCGGGUUGUAAACCGCUUUCGCCUGUGACGAAGCGUGAGUGACGGUAAUGGGUAAAGAAGCACCGGCUAACUACGUG
rnacentral:rRNA from 1 species